GGAAGCUAAUGCUUUGUGGGGUAGUGGUGAAUCUGAUGCAGAUUUAAUGAAAAGGGCACUUGAUAGUUACGAAGAAGAUCACAAAAAAGAUGGUCCAUUCAUGUUUAGGCAUUGUUGGGAGUACCUUAGAAAGGAACAAAAAUGGGAUGCCUAUUUAGAGCGCCUUGAACAGCUUGAGCCGGAGAAUAGAAAAUUUGAACAGCUUAAGCCGGAGAAUAGAAAAUUCUGCGAGUCAGAUGUGGGGCAGCAUUUCUCUCUAGAUGAGGCAAGAGAUGAACGGCCAAUAGGGGCAAGCAAGCUAAGGAGAAACAAAAAAGAAAAAGAAAAGACUAAGCUUGUAUAAUAGAUCUCGAAGAUGAGCUGCAUAAGUUUGUAGAAGCUCAAAAUACAGCUAAUGAAGGUCGUAAAGAGAUGCUAGAGACUCAAAGGCGUGUGUCCAGCGAGAAGCUUGAAGCUCGAAAGCUUGCGUACCUUGCAACAAAAGAGCAAAAAGAAUCAGCCAUGUUAGAAACCUAUAGAUCAUUGAUGAUGCAAGACACAACCGUCAUGUCUGAAGAUGUGAGAUCUGAGCAUGUGCUAGCGUUGAGGUGUUUUAGAGAGAAGUUAUUCGGCAAAAGUGACUAAGGGCCUUGGUGAUGAUCUGGUGUCUCGUGAUUGCAUUGGGUGUUACUACUGCAGCGACCCGAAGGUUAUUCAUGCAAAAUGGGCUACCUGUUUCUUUGGACCGAAGAUAGUAGCAAUGGGUGUUAUCCCUUUAUUGUUGUUUAGAUUAAUAAUUAGUGGCUUCAUUCCGAAGGAUUUAUUUGGUAGUACUUUUGGUUAAUGCUUUAAGAUUUCUGUAAUGCU